CCUACGGGAGGCAGCAGUGAGGAAUAUUGCUCAAUGGACGGAAGUCUGAACCAGCCACGCCGCGUGAAGGAAGACGGAUUUCUGUGUUGUAAACUGUUUUUGCACAAGGGAAAAUCACGAUACGUGUAUUCAACUGCACGUCUAACUCGGAUCCAGCAGCGGCGGUAAUACGUAGGGUGCAGGCGUUAUCCGGAUUUACUGGGGGUAAAGGGGGCGUAGACGGAAGCACAAGUUAGAAGUGAAAUGCCUGGGCUUAACUCGGGAACUGCGUGUUAAACUGUGGAGCUAGAGUGAAGGAGCGGUAAGUGGAAUGUAUGGUGUAGCGGUGAAAUGCGUAGAGAUCA
rnacentral:rRNA from 1 species